UGGUAAGGUAACGGCUUACCAAGGCAACGAUGCGUAGCCGACCUGAGAGGGUGAUCGGCCUCACUGGAACUGAGACACGGUCCAGACUCCUACGGGAGGCAGCAGUAGGGAAUCUUCCGCAAUGGGCGAAAGCCUGACGGAGCAACGCCGCGUGAGUGAUGAAGGUCUUCGGAUCGUAAAACUCUGUUAUUAGGGAAGAACAAAUGUGUAAGUAACUAUGCACGUCUUGACGGUACCUAAUCAGAAAGCCACGGCUAACUACGUGCCAGCAGCCGCGGUAAUACGUAGGUGGCAAGCGUUAUCCGGAAUUAUUGGGCGUAAAGCGCGCGUAGGCGGUUUUUUAAGUCUGAUGUGAAAGCCCACGGCUCAACCGUGGAGGGUCAUUGGAAACUGGAAAACUUGAGUGCAGAAGAGGAAAGUGGAAUUCCAUGUGUAGCGGUGAAAUGCGCAGAGAUAUGGAGG
rnacentral:rRNA from 1 species